rnacentral:rRNA from 1 species
GAUGAACGCUGGCGGCGUGCCUAAUACAUGCAAGUCGAGCGAACAGACGAGGAGCUUGCUCCUUCGACGUUAGCGGCGGACGGGUGAGUAACACGUAGAUAACCUACCUAUAAGACUGGGAUAACUUCGGGAAACCGGAGCUAAUACCGGAUAAUAUUUCGAACCGCAUGGUUCGAUAGUGAAAGACGGCUUUGCUAUCACUUAUAGAUGGACCCGCGCCGCAUUAGCUAGUUGGUAAGGUAACGGCUUACCAAGGCAACGAUGCGUAGCCGACCUGAGAGGGUGAUCGGCCACACUGGAACUGAGACACGGUCCAGACUCCUACGGGAGGCAGCAGUAGGGAAUCUUCCGCAAUGGGCGAAAGCCUGACGGAGCAACGCCGCGUGAGUGAUGAAGGUCUUCGGAUCGUAAAACUCUGUUAUUAGGGAAGAACAAACGUGUAAGUAACUAUGCACGUCUUGACGGUACCUAAUCAGAAAGCCACGGCUAACUACGUG